rnacentral:lncRNA from 1 species
AUUUGGUCAUCGAAUUCACUUUGUUUUUACUGCAUUUCAGGUUUUUUUAAAAUGUCAGAAUCCGAGGAGGUUGUGGAAAGCCAGGGUGCGGAGAAGUAUACGCUGGUCGACUGUAUAACUGAUCCUGCAUUGGAUUGGGUUGCUCCUGAGCCCCGGGGAAUAGCUUCGGCGCUUACUCCCAAGGAUCCUAGAUUAUAUACCACGGUCGAGCAGAG